AGCGAAUGGGUGGAUCAUGCAC
rnacentral:miRNA from 1 species